rnacentral:rRNA from 1 species
UAGAAUUGACGGGCCCGCACAAGCAGCGGAGCGUGUGGUUUAAUUCGAUGCUACACGAAGAACUUACCAGGUUUGACAUGCAAGUGGUAGGAAGCCGAAAGGUGACCGACCUUCGGGAGCUUGCACAGGUGCUGCAUGGCUGUCGUCAGCUCGUGUCGUGAGAUGUUCGGUUAAGUCCGCUAACGAGCGCAACCCUCGCUGUGUGUUACAAGUGUCACACGGUACUGCCGGUCUUAAGCCGGAGGAAGGUGGGGAUGACGUCAAGUCAGCAUGGCCUUUAUGUCCUGGGCUACACACACGCUACAAUGGCCAACACAAUAGGUUGCUAAGCCGCGAGGUGGAGCCAAUCCUCAAAGUUGGUCUCAGUUCAGAUUGCAGGCUGCAACCCGCCUGCAUGAAGAUGGAGUUGCUAGUAACCGCAGGUCAGCUAUACUGCGGUGAAUACGUUCCCGGGGCUU